AACGAACGCUGGCGGCGUGCCUAACACAUGCAAGUCGAGGGAGAAAGCCCGCAAGGGUUAGUAAACCGGCGAACGGGUGCGUAACACGUGGAUAAUCUACCUCGGUAACCGGGACAACUGGCCGAAAGGCUUGCUAAUACCGGAUAAGCCCACGACGUCCAUGGACGUCGCGGGAAAAGGCGGCCUCUGCAUGCAAGCUGUCAUAUCGAGAUGAGUCCGCGGCCCAUCAGCUAGNGGCGGGUAAUGGCCCACCAAGCGACGACGGGUAGCUGGUCUGAGAGGAUGAUCAGCCACACUGGAACUGAGACACGGUCCAGACUCCUACGGGAGGCAGCAGUGGGAAUCUUGCGCAAUGGGCGAAAGCCUGACGCAGCAACGCCGCGUGUGUGAUGAAGGUCUUCGGAUCGUAAAGCACUGUCGCGAGGGAAGAGAUACUCGCAGCUAACA
rnacentral:rRNA from 1 species